rnacentral:rRNA from 1 species
AUUGAACGCUGGCGGCAGGCCUAACACAUGCAAGUCGAGCGGAUGAAGGGAGCUUGCUCCUGGAUGCAGCGGCGGGCGGGGGAGAAAUGCCUAUGAAUCUGCCGGGUAGUGGGGGGUGACGACCGGAAACGGGCGCUAAUACCGCAUACGACGAGAGGGAGAAGGAGGGGGAUCGUCGGACAGCACGAUAUGAGAUGAGCCUAGGUCGGAUUAGCUAGUUGGUGGGGUAAAGGCCUACCAAGGCGACGCUCCGUAACUGGUCUGAGAGGAUGUGCAGUCACCCUGGAACUGGGCCACGGCCCAGACUCCUCCGGGAGGCAGCAGUGGGGAACAUUGGACAUUGGGCGAAAUCUUGACCCAGCCAUCCCGCGUGUGUGAAGAAGGUCUUCGGAUUGUAAAGCCCUUUGUGUGGGGAGAAAGGGCAGUAAGUUAAUACCUUGCUGUUUUGACGGUACCUACAGAAUAAGCACCGGCUAACUUCGUG